rnacentral:lncRNA from 1 species
ACCAGCUCGCGUCCCUCCCCGGCCAGGGCCACCGCCGUCCGAGCGCCCGCGAGGGCUGGCGCCCCAUUCCCGGCGCAACGAGUGUUGCGCAACGGCCCACGCGGCCGACACGACCGGAGCGAGCCUGCGGAGGAGCCCGGGAGCCCCCCGUCCCACCGCCCCGUCCGCUCUUGGCUCCCUUCACCCUCCCGGUCGCCGCGGUGGCUCUGCGCUCCCCGCGACCCUCACUUGCUCGCAGAGGCGCUUUUUGUCUUCCUGAGAGCCGCAGCCUGCUGGGCUACCUGUUGCCGACUGAGCACUGCGGGUUGCGGCUACCCGGGCGUGGCCCGGACCUCGGCCUCCCCUUCCCCGCACACUCCCGAGAGGAGCCCUCUACCUUGGGGUGGGCAGGAGGGAAGGCGGGGGGUGGCGGCUGGCAAGCUGCCAACACUCGGGGCGCGCUGCGGCGGGGAAGGGGUUGGCGCGGCCGGGCAGCUGCGCAGGGCUGCGCGGCGGAGGCAGCGAUUAAAAUGUCCCGGCGCCUCUCCCGAGAGCCGCGACGGCCCGGAGCCGGGAGGGAAAGCUCCACGCACAAACACCGCCCCCUGCACAAUUAGGGCGAAGAUGACGGCUGCAAAGUUGUUGCGUAACACGACUGGGAAACGAGGCUCGCUGAGGUCCAUCUACCCACCCCCGCCACGCGGGUGCGGCGUUCCUCGGAGGAUGUGAAGGUCCGCGCUCGGGUGCCCCCGCUGGGACGCCCACUGUCGUUUGGUGCUGGGGCUUGAGACGACCGCGCGGGAUCUCUUCCUGUGAUUUUGAGCUGAUAGCUGCUUAGUGUUAUUUCUGCGUCUAACUGGAUACGGUAGUCUUCUCUCCCAAAUUCCCGGGCUACGGAAGAGACGUAAAAAAAUGGAAAAAAGAGCACCUAGCCGCGACUUCUUAAGUCGUCGCGCUAGACUGUCAAGGCACGUGGCACACUCCCUGC